rnacentral:tRNA from 1 species
GGGGGCGUGGCUCAAUGGAAGAGCAUCCACUUGGCAUGGAGAAAGGUCCCAGGUUCAGUUCCCGACAUCUCCA